UACUAGUAGCAAGGGUUUCCUAUAUCCACAGAACGGUCUGUGAAAAUGGCGUAUUGUAGUGCUAUUAUUUUCAAGUCGCAGCCGAGGAGCACCGUCAUUAUUGAAUCGUUCUUCAAUUUCAAGGUUGGCCAAUUCCAAUAUUAGUAGCAACGCAUCGAAUCAACUGUUCUUCACCACUACUGCCUAUUCUAGUUACAGGAAACUGCGUUUUUAUAUAAGGUGUGAGGCAAAGCCUAAGCUCCAGGAUUCAAUCGUCGUAGAACAAGGUACAGAUCUUCAUGCUACAUUUCCCCAAUCAUUGUAUGUGGGAUGAAUAGUUUCACAAUUGCUAGUAUAACUAUGACUGAUGAUUAUGCUUCAAUUUAAUUGCCGAAUGUUUUGGUAAGUGUUAAGUUCUUUGAUUCUUGACAUGUGACUUUACUUUUAGGUUCGAUAAAGUAGCAGUUAAGGAUUUUGGUAUAAGUUAAGUUCUUUGAUUGUUGAUAUGUGAGGACACUUCAGGUUUGUAAAUGCUCCUUUUGACUGAAAUUGAACUGGAAUCCAUCAUCGAAAUAUCAAAUUGCUUCUGCAGCACUCUAGACGAGUUAUCAUGAAAGAUAUAUUAGAAGUAAGGAACAUAUUACCAAUAAUAUUUUAGCUUAGGAUUCAGUUGUACUACUAGUGAUGGAUUAGGGUCAUGUUUAUUUGUGCACAACAAAUGCUUGACGAAAUGCAUAAAUGGAAAUUUUAUUUGAGACACUAUAUUUGUUGCUUUUUGUUUGUUUUUUGAAAAGUUUUAUUCUAUUUGAAUGCAUAAGUAACCUCAACUCAGCAAGCUUCAAUGGAAUUUCAGUAAGUUACUUGUUUAUUUAUGUGUACACAUGAUGUUGCUAAUUUUGAACUUGAAUCAGAUUGGGGCAUUGUCUUAACAGGUCUUCGUCCUCGUGAAUCCAUCAUUAUGUUUAACAAACAAAACCCCAUCUUUGCUGGCGAAUGUAGAAAAGCUAAUGAAGAUGGCUGGUAUUGUUUGAACCGAUGGGAAGAAUGGGUGAAACUAUGUAGCAAAGGAAAGGAAAAUAAUUGAAAUGAAAACAGAGAAACGACAAAGCAUUAUGAGGAAGUCACACUUGUAGAGCUUGAUGGAGACGGAGAUUACCACGUGCCUGUUGAACUUGGAGGUAGUGGUGGAAUGUUCAGAAAAACUAGUUGUUGGAAAUGCGCAAAAGGGUUGAAGAUGAUCAUUAAAGAAAAAAAGUCGAGCUUGAAACUAUGCGAAAAGAGUUUGUCAGCAGCGACACAACUUGGAAGCUAUGAUGCGGAAGGUUAUGAAACAAGUAGUUGGAGAUCGAGAUGAAUAGAAUGUUUUCACUUUUUUUAUUGUAAUUGUCUGUAAAGUUAUUUAAGUUUCGACAAACAUGUUGAAGUACACACUUUGAUUAUCAAUGAUAUCUUUGUUAUUAUUGUU